GAUGAACGCUGGCGGCGUGCUUAACACAUGCAAGUCGAACGAACCUUCGGGUUAGUGGCGGACGGGUGAGUAACGCGUGAGAAUUUGCCCUCAGGAGGGGGAUAACGGCUGGAAACGGCCGCUAAUACCCCAUAUGCCGAGAGGUGAAAUGAAUUUCGCCUGGGGAUGAGCUCGCGUUUGAUUAGCUAGUUGGUGGGGUAAAGGCCUACCAAGGCGACGAUCAGUAGCUGGUUUGAGAGGAUGAUCAGCCACACUGGGACUGAGACACGGCCCAGACUCCUACGGGAGGCAGCAGUGGGGAAUUUUCCGCAAUGGGCGAAAGCCUGACGGAGCAACGCCGCGUGAGGGAUGAAGGCCUUUGGGCUGUAAACCUCUUUUAUCAAGGAAGAAGAUUUGACGGUACUUGAUGAAUAAGCCCCGGCUAAUUCCGUG
rnacentral:rRNA from 1 species